rnacentral:rRNA from 1 species
ACGCGUUGAACCUUACCAGGUCUUGACAUCCCGCUGACCGUCCUGGAGACAGGAUUUUCCCUUCGGGGACAGCGGUGACAGGUGGUGCAUGGUUGUCGUCAGCUCGUGUCGUGAGAUGUUGGGUUAAGUCCCGCAACGAGCGCAACCCUUGAUCUUAGUUGCCAGCAUUCAGUUGGGCACUCUAAGGUGACUGCCGGUGACAAACCGGAGGAAGGUGGGGAUGACGUCAAAUCAUCAUGCCCCUUAUGACCUGGGCUACACACGUGCUACAAUGGAUGGUACAAAGGGCUGCAAGACCGCGAGGUUUAGCCAAUCCCAUAAAACCAUUCUCAGUUCGGAUUGCAGGCUGCAACUCGCCUGCAUGAAGCUGGAAUCGCUAGUAAUCGCGGAUCAGCAUGCCGCGGUGAAUACGUUCCCGGGCCUUGCACACACCGCCCGU